rnacentral:rRNA from 1 species
UACAGAGGUCCCAAGCGUUGUUCGGAUUCACUGGGCGUAAAGGGUGCGUAGGUGGCCAGGUAAGUUUGGUGUGAAAGCUCGGAGCUUAACUCCGAAAAGUCAUUGAAUACUAUCUGGCUGGAGGGUCGGAGGGGAGACUGGAAUUCUCGGUGUAGCAGUGAAAUGCGUAGAUAUCGUAAGGAAGACCAGUGGCGAAGGCGGGUCUCUGGACAGUUCCUGACGCUGAGGCACGAAGGUCAGGGGAGCAAACGGG